rnacentral:rRNA from 1 species
UACGGAGGGUGCUAGCGUUGUUCGGAAUUACUGGGCGUAAAGCGCACGUAGGCGGCGACUCAAGUCAGAGGUGAAAGCCCGGGGCUCAACCCCGGAACUGCCUUUGAAACUAGGUUGCUAGAAUCUUGGAGAGGUCAGUGGAAUUCCGAGUGUAGAGGUGAAAUUCGUAGAUAUUCGGAAGAACACCAGUGGCGAAGGCGACUGACUGGACAAGUAUUGACGCUGAGGUGCGAAAGCGUGGGGAGCAAACAGG